rnacentral:rRNA from 1 species
UUUAUGGAGAGUUUGAUCCUGGCUCAGGAUGAACGCUGGCGGCGUGCCUAAUACAUGCAAGUCGAGCGAACGGACGAGAAGCUUGCUUUUCUGAUGUUAGCGGCGGACGGGUGAGUAACACGUGGAUAACCUACCUAUAAGACUGGGAUAACUUCGGGAAACCGGAGCUAAUACCGGAUAAUAUUUUGAACCGCAUGGUUCAAAAGUGAAAGACGGUCUUGCUGUCACUUAUAGAUGGAUCCGCGCUGCAUUAGCUAGUUGGUAAGGUAACGGCUUACCAAGGCAACGAUGCAUAGCCGACCUGAGAGGGUGAUCGGCCACACUGGAACUGAGACACGGUCCAGACUCCUACGGGAGGCAGCAGUAGGGAAUCUUCCGCAAUGGGCGAAAGCCUGACGGAGCAACGCCGCGUGAGUGAUGAAGGUCUUCGGAUCGUAAAACUCUGUUAUUAGGGAAGAACAUAUGUGUAAGUAACUGUGCACAUCUUGACGGUACCUAAUCAGAAAGCCACGGCUAACUACGUGCCAGCAGCCGCGGUAAUACGUAGGUGGCAAGCGUUAUCCGGAAUUAUUGGGCGUAAAGCGCGCGUAGGCGGUUUUUUAAGUCUGAUGUGAAAGCCCACGGCUCAACCGUGGAGGGUCAUUGGAAACUGGAAAACUUGAGUGCAGAAGAGGAAAGUGGAAUUCCAUGUGUAGCGGUGAAAUGCGCAGAGAUGUGGAGGAACACCAGUGGCGAAGGCGACUUUCUGGUCUGUAACUGACGCUGAUGUGCGAAAGCGUGGGGAUCAAACAGGAUUAGAUACCCUGGUAGUCCACGCCGUAAACGAUGAGUGCUAAGUGUUAGGGGGUUUCCGCCCCUUAGUGCUGCAGCUAACGCAUUAAGCACUCCGCCUGGGGAGUACGACCGCAAGGUUGAAACUCAAAGGAAUUGACGGGGACCCGCACAAGCGGUGGAGCAUGUGGUUUAAUUCGAAGCAACGCGAAGAACCUUACCAAAUCUUGACAUCCUUUGACAACUCUAGAGAUAGAGCCUUCCCCUUCGGGGGACAAAGUGACAGGUGGUGCAUGGUUGUCGUCAGCUCGUGUCGUGAGAUGUUGGGUUAAGUCCCGCAACGAGCGCAACCCUUAAGCUUAGUUGCCAUCAUUAAGUUGGGCACUCUAAGUUGACUGCCGGUGACAAACCGGAGGAAGGUGGGGAUGACGUCAAAUCAUCAUGCCCCUUAUGAUUUGGGCUACACACGUGCUACAAUGGACAAUACAAAGGGCAGCGAAACCGCGAGGUCAAGCAAAUCCCAUAAAGUUGUUCUCAGUUCGGAUUGUAGUCUGCAACUCGACUACAUGAAGCUGGAAUCGCUAGUAAUCGUAGAUCAGCAUGCUACGGUGAAUACGUUCCCGGGUCUUGUACACACCGCCCGUCACACCACGAGAGUUUGUAACACCCGAAGCCGGUGGAGUAACCUUUUAGGAGCUAGCCGUCGAAGGUGGGACAAAUGAUUGGGGUGAAGUCGUAACAAGGUAGCCGUAUCGGAAGGUGCGGCUGGAUCACCUCCUUUCU